rnacentral:rRNA from 1 species
UACGUAGAGUGCGAGCGUUAAUCGGAAUUACUGGGCGUAAAGCGUGCGCAGGCGGAUUUGCAAGACAGAGGAGAAAUCCCCGGGCUCAACCUGGGAACUGCCUUUGUGACUGCAAGGCUAGAGUACGGCAGAGGGGGAUGGAAUUCCGCGUGUAGCAGUGAAAUGCGUGGAUAUGAGGAGGAACACCGAUGGCGAAGGCAAUCCACUGGGCCUGUACUGACGCUCAUGCACGAAAGCGUUGGGAGCAAACAGG